rnacentral:sRNA from 1 species
UUUUCAUUAUAAUCUUUAAUAUUUGAAGUACCAUUGGUUAUCAUUUAAGCUGUUAACGAUGCCAUUAAUACAAUUGAUUGUGACUGUUAGAACUAUUAGUGUAAGAUAUUAUCCGUGUUACAAUUAUCUGUGUUGUAUAAAAGCUGUAAGCCAUUGUUGAGCUUGUAGGCAUUCCUAAACAGUGUUGGAUAUCGUAAUGAUAAAAUAUUUCGUGAUUUCAGUAAUUGAUUUCGGUAUAACGUUAAAUACUUUCUAUUGUCAUUCAGAAAGAGUAUUGUAUAUCGUGCUGUAGGCCAUUGUUGAGAUUGUAGGCAUUCUUAAACAGUGUUGGAUAUCGUAAUGAUAAAAUAUUUCGUGAUUUCAGUUAUUGAUUUCGGCAUAACGUUAAAUACUUUCUAUUGUCAUUCAGAAAGAGUAUUCUAUAUCGUGCUGUAGGCCAUUGUUGAGAUUGUAGGCAUUCUUAAACAGUGUUGGAUAUCGUAAUGAUAAAAUAUUUCGUGAUUUCAGUUAUUGAUUUCGGCAUAACGUUAAAUACUUUCUAUUGUCAUUCAGAAAGAGUAUUCUAUAUCGUGCUGUAGGCCAUUGUUGAGAUUGUAGGCAUUCUUAAACAGUGUUGGAUAUCGUAAUGAUAAAAUAUUUCGUGAUUU